rnacentral:rRNA from 1 species
CCUACGGGCGGCAGCAGUGGGGAAUAUUGGGCAAUGGAGGCUACUCUGACCCAGCAACGCCGCGUGAAUGAUGACGGUCUUCGGAUUGUAAAGUUCUUUUUUAAGGGAAGUAGAAAGUGACGUUACCUUAGCAUUAAGCCUCGGCUAACUAUGUGCCAGCAGCCGCGGUAAUACGGAGGCGGCAAGCGUUAUCCGGAAUUACUGGGUGUAAAGGGUGCGUAGGUGGGUUGACAAGUUAGUAGCGUAACUCCGGGGCUCAACUGUGGAACUGCUACCACAACUGGUGUACUAGAGUACAGGAGAGGUAAGUGGAAUUUGUAGUGUAGCGGUGAAAUGCGUAGAUAUUAGGAAGAACACCGAUGGCGAAGGCGAGUUGCUGGACUGUAACUGACACUGAGGCACGAAAGCGUGGGGAGCAAACAGGAUUAGAUACCCCAGUAGUC